AUCAAACAUCACUCCUGAAACCUGCUAUGAAGAUGAACUCUAUCAUCUGGUCGAAGUAAAACUCACUGCACAAGAUUUCUACUGUGAUUCUGAAGGCAACAGUAUGGUCUUGAUUCAUCUACCUCCGGAACUCAAGCAUUUGUACCGUCAUUGGGACACUGCCAUUCCACAUGUCCCUGUGACCAAGUUGAAAACAAUAUCAUGGAAUGAUCUUGGGCCUAUGGCAAAAGCAUGGGCCACUAUGGACGAAUUACAGCUACAGGAAAAUGGUGUUGUCAAAUAUCCAACAACUGACCACCUAAAAGCAUGGUGGAGUCAUUUCCUGGAGAAUGAGUUCCAAGAUUUAACCAUAGUGAAUGACUACGACCCAGAUACACCUCAUGACUGUUUUGAACAGAUGAAAAUAGAAACAACACAUCUACCAACUGUGCAUGAAGACCCAUUGGUAGAUCCCGAUCUCACCCUGUUUGUGGACGGCUCAAGAUAUGCUGAUGAAGAAGGAAGAUACCAUACAGGAUAUGCCGUAACCACAACAGAUGAAAUUGUCAAAUCAUCAUCUUUACCAUCAACUAUGUUGCACAAGAAGCUGAAUUGCAAGCCCUGACUUCAGCAUGCAAGAUCUCUGAAGGAAAGCGCGCCAAUAUCUACACGGAUUCAAGAUAUGCACUGGGCGUGGCUCACGACUUCGGAUUAAUUUGGAAAACAAGAGGAUUUCUUACCACCACCGGUACACCAAUCAAGCACGGUUCCGCAAUCAAGGAGCUGAUGGACGCCCUCCUACUCCCAGAAGAAGUGGCUACUUUGAAGAUAAAAGCACAUGGGAAGUUGGACUCAGAUGAAGCAAGGGGCAACCAUCUAGCUGAUCAGGCUGCAAAACAAGCUGCAAAAGAACCACAGG